rnacentral:rRNA from 1 species
UACGUAGGGUGCAAGCGUUGUCCGGAAUUAUUGGGCGUAAAGAGCUCGUAGGCGGUUUGUCGCGUCUGCUGUGAAAACUCGGGGCUUAACUCCGGGCCUGCAGUGGGUACGGGCAGGCUAGAGUGCGGUAGGGGAGACUGGAAUUCCUGGUGUAGCGGUGAAAUGCGCAGAUAUCAGGAGGAACACCGGUGGCGAAGGCGGGUCUCUGGGCCGUAACUGACGCUGAGGAGCGAAAGCGUGGGGAGCGAACAGG